rnacentral:rRNA from 1 species
UACUCGAGCGGCGAACGGGUGAGUAACACGUGAGCAACCUGCCCCAGGCUUUGGGAUAACCCCGGGAAACCGGGGCUAAUACCGGAUAUGACCUUGCACCGCAUGGUGUUUGGUGGAAAGUUUUUCGGCUUGGGAUGGGCUCGCGGCCUAUCAGCUUGUUGGUGGGGUGAUGGCCUACCAAGGCGACGACGGGUAGCCGGCCUGAGAGGGCGACCGGCCACACUGGGACUGAGACACGGCCCAGACUCCUACGGGAGGCAGCAGUGGGGAAUAUUGCACAAUGGGCGGAAGCCUGAUGCAGCGACGCCGCGUGAGGGAUGACGGCCUUCGGGUUGUAAACCUCUUUCAGCAGGGACGAAGCGUAAGUGACGGUACCUGCAGAAGAAGCGCCGGCCAACUACGUGCCAGCAGCCGCGGUAAGACGUAGGGCGCGAGCGUUGUCCGGAUUUAUUGGGCGUAAAGAGCUCGUAGGCGGCUUGUCGCGUCGACCGUGAA